rnacentral:rRNA from 1 species
UUUGACCUCAAAUCAGGUAGGACUACCCGCUGAACUUAAGCAUAUCAAUAAGCGGAGGAAAAGAAACUAACAAGGAUUCCCCUAGUAACUGCGAGUGAAGCGGGAAAAGCUCAAAUUUGAAAUCUGGCAGUCUUUUUUUUCUUCUUUGGCUGUCCGAGUUGUAAUCUAGAGAAGUGCUUACCUGCACUGGACCAUGUAUAAGUCUCCUGGAAUGGAGCGUCGCAGAGGGUGAGAAUCCCGUCUUUGACAUGGACUGCCAGUGUGUUGUGGUGUGCUCUCAAAGAGUCGAGUUGUUUGGGAAUGCAGCUCUAAAUGGGUGGUAAACUCCAUCUAAAGCUAAAUAUUGGCGAGAGACCGAUAGCGACAG